GAUGAACGCUGGCGGCGUGCCUAAUACAUGCAAGUCGAGCGAACGGACGAGAAGCUUGCUUCUCUGAUGUUAGCGGCGGACGGGUGAGUAACACGUGGAUAACCUACCUAUAAGACUGGGAUAACUUCGGGAAACCGGAGCUAAUACCGGAUAAUAUUUUGAACCGCAUGGUUCAAAAGUGAAAGACGGUCUUGCUGUCACUUAUAGAUGGAUCCGCGCUGCAUUAGCUAGUUGGUAAGGUAACGGCUUACCAAGGCAACGAUGCAUAGCCGACCUGAGAGGGUGAUCGGCCACACUGGAACUGAGACACGGUCCAGACUCCUACGGGAGGCAGCAGUAGGGAAUCUUCCGCAAUGGGCGAAAGCCUGACGGAGCAACGCCGCGUGAGUGAUGAAGGUCUUCGGAUCGUAAAACUCUGUUAUUAGGGAAGAACAUAUGUGUAAGUAACGGUGCACAUCUUGACGGUACCUAAUCAGAAAGCCACGGCUAACUACGUGCCAGCAGCCGCGGUAAUACGUAGGUGGCAAGCGUUAUCCGGAAUUAUUGGGCGUAAAGCGCGCGUAGGCGGUUUUUUAAGUCUGAUGUGAAAGCCCACGGCUCAACCGUGGAGGGUCAUUGGAAACUGGAAAACUUGAGUGCAGGAGAGGAAAGUGGAAUUCCAUGUGUAGCGGUGAAAUGCGCAGAGAUAUGGAGGAACACCAGUGGCGAAGGCGACUUUCUGGUCUGUAACUGACGCUGAUGUGCGAAAGCGUGGGGAUCAAACAGGAUUAGAUACCCUGGUAGUCCACGCCGUAAACGAUGAGUGCUAAGUGUUAGGGGGUUUCCGCCCCUUAGUGCUGCAGCUAACGCAUUAAGCACUCCGCCUGGGGAGUACGACCGCAAGGUUGAAACUCAAAGGAAUUGACGGGGACCCGCACAAGCGGUGGAGCAUGUGGUUUAAUUCGAAGCAACGCGAAGAACCUUACCAAAUCUUGACAUCCUUUGACAACUCUAGAGAUAGAGCUUUCCCCUUCGGGGGACAAAGUGACAGGUGGUGCAUGGUUGUCGUCAGCUCGUGUCGUGAGAUGUUGGGUUAAGUCCCGCAACGAGCGCAACCCUUAAGCUUAGUUGCCAUCAUUAAGUUGGGCACUCUAAGUUGACUGCCGGUGACAAACCGGAGGAAGGUGGGGAUGACGUCAAAUCAUCAUGCCCCUUAUGAUUUGGGCUACACACGUGCUACAAUGGACAAUACAAAGGGCAGCGAAACCGCGAGGUCAAGCAAAUCCCAUAAAGUUGUUCUCAGUUCGGAUUGUAGUCUGCAACUCGACUACAUGAAGCUGGAAUCGCUAGUAAUCGUAGAUCAGCAUGCUACGGUGAAUACGUUCCCGGGUCU
rnacentral:rRNA from 1 species